GAUGAACGCUGGCGGCGUGCCUAAUACAUGCAAGUCGAGCGAACGGACGAGAAGCUUGCUUUUCUGAUGUUAGCGGCGGACGGGUGAGUAACACGUGGAUAACCUACCUAUAAGACUGGGAUAACUUCGGGAAACCGGAGCUAAUACCGGAUAAUAUUUUGAACCGCAUGGUUCAAAAGUGAAAGACGGUCUUGCUGUCACUUAUAGAUGGAUCCGCGCUGCAUUAGCUAGUUGGUAAGGUAACGGCUUACCAAGGCAACGAUGCAUAGCCGACCUGAGAGGGUGAUCGGCCACACUGGAACUGAGACACGGUCCAGACUCCUACGGGACGCAGCAGUAGGGAAUCUUCCGCAAUGGGCGAAAGCAUGACGGAGCAACGCCGCGUGAGUGAUGAAGGUCUUCGGAUCGUAAAACUCUGUUAUUAGGGAAGAACGUAUGUGUAAGUAACUGUGCACAUCUUGACGGUACCUAAUCAGAAAGCCACGGCUAACUACGUG
rnacentral:rRNA from 1 species